rnacentral:rRNA from 1 species
GAUUAUGGCUCAGGACGAACGCUGGCGGCAUGCCUAACACAUGCAAGUCGAACGGAGUAAUGACUUCGGUUAUACUAGUGGCGAACGGGUGAGUAACACGUGAAUAAUCUGCCCUGUACGAUGGGAUAACAGCUGGAAACGGCUGCUAAUACCGUAUAUGACCACGCCGAGGCAUCUCGGAGGGGUGAAAGCGCUUAAGCGGUACAGGAUGAGUUCGCGUCCAAUUAGCUAGUUGGUGAGGUAACGGCCCACCAAGGCGACGAUUGGUAGCCGACCUGAGAGGGUGAUCGGCCACACUGGAACUGAGACACGGUCCAGACUCCUACGGGAGGCAGCAGUGGGGAAUAUUGGGCAAUGGAGGAAACUCUUACCCAAGCAAUGCCGCGUGAGUGAUGAAGGUCUUCGGAUUGUAAAGCUCUUUGAUUGGGGACGAAUAAAUGACGGUACCCAAGGAACAAGCCCCGGCUAACUAUGUGCCAGCCGCCGC